UACGUAGGGUGCGAGCGUUGUCCGGAAUUAUUGGGCGUAAAGGGCUCGUAGGCGGUUUGUCGCGUCGGGAGUGAAAACCUUGGGCUUAACUCAGGGCUUGCUUUCGAUACGGGCAGACUAGAGGUAUGCAGGGGAGAACGGAAUUCCUGGUGUAGCGGUGAAAUUCGCAGAUAUCAGGAGGAACACCGGUGGCGAAGGCGGUUCUCUGGGCAUGAUCUGACGCUGAGGAGCGAAAGUGUGGGGAGCGAACAGG
rnacentral:rRNA from 1 species